AAACCAAAACAAACACCCCCUAACCCUUUAUUUAUUUCCCAUCCUCUUUCAUAACCCAAAUUAUCCCCUUCGUUAUCCACCCUCUCCCCUGCCCCUCUCCCUCUCCCCUUGAUAACAGACAAAAUCGAACCGAUCUCUUGCCUUCCCCUCUCCCUCUCUCUUUGAUAACGCCCAAAUCCCUUAAUUACCUUCGUUAUCGGUGCUUUCCCCUGCCCCUCUCCCUCUCUCCGUCUCUAAAUUAAACUAACGUUUGGACUCCUCACUUCAGUUUCCGUCUCCUUCUCACCUGCUCUCCCCAUCCAUUUUGUGUUUCUAUAAAUACCUUCUGCUUCAAUUUUGAUGGAACAAAUAAGUUUUUUUUUUUCAAAUUGUAUUGUGUCCAAUAUUGAUUGGAGGAGUAGAAAGCUAUCAAGAAUGAAAGAUUAAGAACAAACAACAACUACAGCAAGGAAAACAAGAAAAAACCCCAGUAGAUGAGAUCAAACAAUACCAAGAUGCGAGAUGGGUAUCAUCACAAGAAGCAAUUUGGUGAUCAAGGUGGAGUUAUAUUUGAGAAUGAUGGAAUUAUUUACAACUGCGCAUUCUCCAUUUGUGAUCAAGGAAGAGGACUUAAUGAAUUCCAUUUUUUUUCCUGAUGUGCCAAUCCCGCUUCGAUUGUCAAGCCAUCUUUUGCUUGGUGUGGUCAGAAUAUAUUCCAAAAAGGUUGAAAUGAAUGGAAAGAAGACUACUACUCUAUAAGUUCUUGAAAUCAAAGAAAGGAGACUACUACUCAUUGUUCUAUUUAGAUGCGCAGCAGUUUCUUUGAUGAUGUUUCAGAUUCUAUUUUUAUCUUGUGAGGUGCCUUCUGAUUUGAGCUAGCCAUUUUUUUCCCAUUUCAGCUAUUUAAAGUGUGUUCAUGCUCUUUUUUGUAUCAAGGGAAAUAAAUUAAUACCUCACCUUUUCAUUCAUGUCUAUUGAAUUGUAAUUCUAGAUGAUCCAUCAAGCUUCACGCACGUUCAAAGUUUAUAACUAUCGCUUCUUUCAAUCAUUUUUUUUUGUUUCCAGCUCACUUAUUCAUAUAUCCCUACAAGAUUAAGAGCAUGUGCUCGAUAUCUCAGUUUCUACCCUUGCGUAUUCAUGUUAAAAGACAUUUUCUCGAUCGGUGAUCAGCUGCUUAUGGUUUUUAAGUUUUGUUUUUGCAUGUAACAUGUGCCUUAUCUUCCCAGUAAACUUGUGACUUGGCAUAUUCUUUUAUGCUUCUCUUUUCCCAUUGAACAUUAUGCUGAAUAUUAGUUAUUUGCAGUUAAGAUCAACUAACAUUUUCUUGAUUGUGUGGUCACUUUUAUCACGUGCACCAUAUAUAUGAUUGAUUAAAUUCCUUCUCUAUGGAUAAUAUUCUAAGUCCUGUGAGAUAAUGUUUUAUUUGCAUUCAUCUUGUGUAUAAAUUCAAUGCAUAAUUACGAAAACAUUAUGGAUUUUGACUAUUGUAGUUUCUUAAUAUGCAUCACGUGCAGCGCACGUAUAGCAUACUAGUAAAUCAAAAAAAAAAGCUAGAAAAGGAAACCGUAAACCCGUGUAAUGCCGUGUUAAACUUGUAGAAAUUAUUUCCAUCAGGAAGCGCCAUCUCAAAUUACAACAGAUGAGCCCUAGAGUUCAAUGGCGUAAUUAAGUGCUUAGCGCUGCAACUUCAUUCGAAUCCGAACCCCUCAUCACUCGCUGAGAACUCGUGAUCUUGACCUGCAUAACGUCAGUUUCUACCAUCUGCUGCUAUGUGAAACUUCCCUCCAAAGAUGUCUUUUUUUUUUAAUAA